UUUAGGACCUCAUUUGAUGGAUUACAGUUUACUGUUGAUAUGAGGUUGGUUUUACGUUCUAAGGUAGGAGAAGGAACUAGGUAGAAUGUUGAAGCUUCUAAACUGGAUAUUAUGUUCAGUAUUUUAAAGAAUGCGGAGAUUCUGAGGUCAUUAUCUAGUUUUUCUUGGUGUUAUAGAGAACCUUUGGGGCUCUAUCUAUGUGGUGAAAAGUUGGUUUGAGAAAACGCAAUGGAUUACUCUUGGGGUUGUAUGUUGAUAUUUUGUACAUACAUAUGACAAUUUGCUAGCAUGUUAUCAUGCAUGCAUUUGUUAGAUGAAACUUUUUCUUAACCCGGGAUGUCGUGGGCAUGGUUUUAAAUAACAG
rnacentral:misc_RNA from 1 species